AUGGGAAGACAAAAGAUACACCUGAGGCACGAGAGGACCUGCAACAUUUGCACGAAAAAGACGGCAUGCCUCCGAAGCAGUAUGAAGGUCCUGCCAGCUACGCUCUUACGAAAGAAGAGAAAGAAAUCUUCUUGCCUGCUCAGUAUGAAGGUCCCGAUUGGCUUCUCGUCGAAUAUAAAGGGAAUAAUAAAUAUGCCAGAGAAAAAGUUCCAGAACCUAAAGUCUCAUGACUGCCACGUGAUUAUGACGCAACUGCUUCCGGUUGCAUUGAGGGGGCUUCUACCGGAAAACGUCCGAUUAGCCAUUGUGAAGCUAUGUGCAUUCCUCAAUGCAAUCUCUCAGAAGGUGAUCGAUCCAGAAAUCAUACCAAGGCUAAGGAGUGAUGUGGCGCAAUGUCUUGUUAGUUUCGAGCUGGUGUUCCCACCAUCCUUCUUCAAUAUCAUGACGCACGUCCUAGUUCAUCUAGUCGACGAGAUUGUCAUUCUGGGCCCGUAUUUCUACACAAUAUGUUCCCCUUUGAGAGGUUCAUGCGAGUCCUAA
rnacentral:rRNA from 1 species